GAUGAACGCUGGCGGCGUGCCUAAUACAUGCAAGUCGAGCGAAUGGAUUAAGAGCUUGCUCUUAUGAAGUUAGCGGCGGACGGGUGAGUAACACGUGGGUAACCUGCCCAUAAGACUGGGAUAACUCCGGGAAACCGGGGCUAAUACCGGAUAACAUUUUGAACCGCAUGGUUCGAAAUUGAAAGGCGGCUUCGGCUGUCACUUAUGGAUGGACCCGCGUCGCAUUAGCUAGUUGGUGAGGUAACGGCUCACCAAGGCAACGAUGCGUAGCCGACCUGAGAGGGUGAUCGGCCACACUGGGACUGAGACACGGCCCAGACUCCGUCGGGAGGAAGCAGUAGGGAAUCUUCCGCAAUGGACGAAAGUCUGACGGAGCAACGCCGCGUGAGUGAUGAAGGCUUUCGGGUCGUAAAACUCUGUUGUUAGGGAAGAACAAGUGCUAGUUGAAUAAGCUGGCACCUUGACGGUACCUAACCAGAGAGCCACGGCUAACUACGUGCCAGCCGCCGCCGUAA
rnacentral:rRNA from 1 species